UGGGGAAUAUUGCACAAUGGGCGAAAGCCUGAUGCAGCAACGCCGCGUGAGUGAUGAAGGCCUUCGGGUUGUAAAGCUCUGUCUUUUGGGACGAUAAUGACGGUACCAAAGGAGGAAGCCACGGCUAACUACGUGCCAGCAGCCGCGGUAAUACGUAGGUGGCAAGCGUUGUCCGGAUUUACUGGGCGUAAAGGAUGCGUAGGCGGAUUUUUAAGUGAGAUGUGAAAACCCUAAGCUUAACUUGGGGACUGCAUUUCAUACUGGAAAUCUAGAGUGCGGGAGAGGAGAAUGGAAUUCCUAGUGUAGCGGUGAAAUGCGUAGAGAUUAGGAAGAACACCAGUGGCGAAGGCGAUUCUCUGGACCGUAACUGACGCUGAGGCAUGAAAGCGUGGGUAGCAAACAGGAUUAGAUACCCUGGUAGUCCACGCCGUAAACGAUGAGUACUAGGUGUAGGAGGUAUCGACUCCUUCUGUGCCGCAGUUAACACAAUAAGUACUCCGCCUGGGAAGUACGAUCGCAAGAUUAAAACUCGAAUGAAUUGACGGGGUCAUAGCUG
rnacentral:rRNA from 1 species